AUGCCUGGGGGAACAAUUCUGGGUGUCCCCAAGUCGGGGUGUCCCAAAUUUUGGGGUGUCCCCCAGGUGUGGCAGCACCCCGGGUGUCCCCUGCACAGGGUGGGGACACCGAGGGUCCAGAAGGGACAAGGACAAAGGGCAGGGGGUCAAUUCUGGGUGUCCCCAAGUCGGGGUGGCCCCAAAUUUGGGGUGUCGAAAAUUUUGGGGUGUCCCCCAGGGGUGGCAGCACCCCGGGUGUCCCCUGCACAGGGUGGGGACACCGAGGGUCCAGAAGGGACAAGGACAAAGGGCAGGGGGUGGCACUGCUGUCCCCUCGCUGGGGACACGGGGACAGCACCCAGGGGACAUGUGACCAUAAAGUGCAAACUGGGACAGCCCCAGGGUGGGGACAGGGACAAACUGGGGGGCACUGGGAGGGGACUGAGGGUGGCACCUGAGGGGUGGCCAUGGCUGGGAUCACCUGGGGGACAUCACUGGUGGCCAGGAUCACCAGGGGACAUCAUGGCCACCAUGGCUGGGACCAGUUUGGGACAUCACUGGGGGCCAGGAUCACCUGGGGGACGUUGUGGCCACCAUUGGGACCACCAGGGGACAUGAUGGCCACCAUGACUGGGACCAGCUGGGGACAUCACUGGGGGCCAGGAUCACCUGGGGGACGUUGUGGCCACCACUGGGACUACCUGAGGACCCUGAGGCCACCACUGGGACCACCUGAGGACCCUGAGGCCACCACUGGGACCAGCUGGGGACAUCACUGGUGGCCAGGAUCACCAGGGGACAUCAUGGCCACCGCUGGGACCACCUGGGGGACAUCGUGGCCACCAUGACUGGGACCAGCUGGGGACAUCACUGGUGGCCAGGAUCACCAGGGGACAUCAUGGCCACCGCUGGGACCACCUGAGGACACUGGGGCCACCACUGGGACCAGCUGGGAGAUGUCACUGGUGGCCAGGAUCACCUGAGGACAUCAUGGCCACCGUGACUGGGACCAGUUGGGGACAUCACUAGGGGUCAGGACCACCAGGGGACAUCAUGGCCACCACUGGGAUCACCAGGGGACAUCACUGGUGGCCAGGAUCACCUGGGGGACACUGUGGCCACCCCUGGGACCACCUGAGGAUGUCGCCUGCGGAGUGACCCUGGCCAGGACCAGGGGGGGGGGGGGGGGGGGGGGGGGGGGGGGGGGGGGGGGGGGGGGGGGGGGGGGGGGGGGGGGGGG
rnacentral:lncRNA from 12 species